AUCCAGCUGAUGAAUCUCAAAUAGGACGAAACACGUGUCCCGAGU
rnacentral:hammerhead_ribozyme from 1 species